rnacentral:rRNA from 1 species
GACGAACCGUGCGAACGUUGUUCGGAAUCACUGGGCUUAAAGGGCGCGUAGGCGGGCCGCCAGGCCCGCGGUGAAAUCCCCCGGCUCAACCGGGGCAGUGCCGCGGGGACCGGCGGUCUGGAGUGAGGUAGGGGCGCGCGGAACUGUGGGUGGAGCGGUGAAAUGCGUUGAUAUCCACAGGAACUCCGGUGGCGAAGGCGGCGCGCUGGACCUCCACUGACGCUGAGGCGCGAAAGCCAGGGGAGCGAACGGG